rnacentral:rRNA from 1 species
AUACGGAGGGUGCAAGCGUUACUCGGAAUCACUGGGCGUAAAGCGCGCGCAGGCGGCUAUUUAAGUUGGAUGUGAAAACCUAUGGCUCAACCAUAGAACUGCAUCCAAAACUAUUUAGCUAGAGUGUGGGAGAGGAAGAUGGAAUUAGUUGUGUAGGGGUAAAAUCCGUAGAGAUAACUAGGAAUACCAAAAGCGAAGGCAAUCUUCUGGAACACUACUGACGCUGAGGCGCGGAAGCGUGGGGAGCAAACAGGAUUAGAUACCCUAGUAGUCC